UUUUAAGCUAUUUCAGUUCACCGCCAUUACUCCAUUAGAAUUUUGUGAGCAAAAGAGAAAAACUUUGUGAAAUCUCAAUCUCAGCUAUGUCUUCGAACAACCCUUCUCAGCUUCUUCCUUCUGAGUUGAUUGAUCGUUGCAUUGGUUCAAAGAUAUGGGUGAUAAUGAAGGGUGAUAAGGAGCUUGUUGGUACACUUAGAGGAUUUGAUGUUUAUGUUAACAUGGUUCUUGAAGAUGUUACUGAAUACGAGAUCACUUCUGAAGGGCGGAGGAUAACAAAACUUGAUCAGAUAUUGCUCAAUGGAAACAACAUUGCUAUCCUGGUUCCUGGAGGGUCGCCACCUGAUGAAUGAUAACUGCAACGCAACUUGUGCUGUUUAGUGAGACUAGUUGAUGAAGAUUUCCGCGAGAUACAUGUAUUUUUAGUAAUUCUCAUGUGUUCAGCUAGGAUCUACUAUCAAUUGUAGUUGCAUUAUAUUGAAAACAUUUAUGGUGAUGAUUCUUGCAAUGGUACUUUGGCUCUGGUGUUGCCAAGCUAUUAGCUUUAAACUCUGUAUGGAGUUUCUACAGGAAUGGUAAAACUCAAAUGGAUCGUUGGUUACUGUUGACGAUCCAUUUUAAUUUCUUUGUGCCCCGAGGGUGUAGUCUAAUGGUUAAUGAAG
rnacentral:misc_RNA from 1 species